UACGAGGGGUGCAAGCGUUGUUCGGAAUUACUGGGCGUAAAGCGUGAGGAGGCGGCUCGCUAAGUCUGAUGUGAAAGCCCUGGGCUUAACCCAGGAACUGCAUCGGAAACUAGCGGGCUAGAGUUCGGGAGAGGGUCGUGGAAUUCUUGGUGUAGAGGUGAAAUUCGUAGAUAUCAAGAGGAACACCGGUGGCGAAGGCGGCGACCUGGACCGACACUGACGCUAAUACACGAAAGCGUGGGGAGCAAACAGG
rnacentral:rRNA from 1 species